rnacentral:pre_miRNA from 1 species
AUCUUACACACAGCAUACCCACUUGACAUUUACAUAGUGGAAUGUGGUGUGUAAUGCCG